rnacentral:tRNA from 1 species
AAUUAUUAAGCUUUUAAAGCAUUAUGUUUUGAAUACAUAAAAAAAGAAAUAAAUUUCUAAUAAUUU